rnacentral:lncRNA from 1 species
UCCCCUCUACAAAAUUCUAGCUUCUUGUCAUAAUCCAUCUACAAUCAACUACAAGUAUGUCUAGCAAUUUGUUCUAUGGCUUACAAUGCUUCCAUGCAGUAUACAAGGCAUAUACAUUUAAAAAUAAUGAUAUUAAAAUUAACCACAUUCUUGAGGCACAUCCACUGUACUUGGCCUAAAUGAGAGUAAUUAGAUUAUGUCAUUAGAUGUAUCAUGUGAUGAGAAAUCCACAUUCUCAUCCCCUCCCUUCUCGCUCCCUCUUCAUUCAUCUUGUAGUUAUAAGCCACAUUAGUCUCUUAGCUAAAGAAACUUGCUCUUGGCUUUAGCAGGUUGCCAACUUAGCUUAGCUUAGUUCAUCUUAAUUUAUAUUCUUAUAUACAUAACACUUCCACCU